rnacentral:rRNA from 1 species
CGAAGGGGGCGAGCGUUGUUCGGAUUUACUGGGCGUAAAGGGCGCGCAGGCGGCAGACCAAGUCAGGCGUGAAAGCCCCGGGCUCAACCUGGGAACUGCGUCUGGGACUGGUUUGCUAGAGAUCGGGAGAGGAGAGUGGAAUUCCCAGUGUAGAGGUGAAAUUCGUAGAUAUUGGGAAGAACACCGGUGGCGAAGGCGGCUCUCUGGACCGAUACUGACGCUGAGGCGCGAAAGCGUGGGGAGCAAACAGGAUUAGAUACCCUGGUAGUCCACGCUGUAAACGAUGUGUGCUAGACGUUGGGGAGCCUAGCUCUUCGGUGUCGCAGCUAACGCGGUAAGCACACCGCCUGGGGGAGUACGGCCGCAAGGUUA